AUUGAACGCUGGCGGCAUGCCUUACACAUGCAAGUCGAACGGCAGCACGGGUGCUUGCACCUGGUGGCGAGUGGCGAACGGGUGAGUAAUACAUCGGAACAUGUCCUGUAGUGGGGGAUAGCCCGGCGAAAGCCGGAUUAAUACCGCAUACGAUCUACGGAUGACAGCGGGGGACCUUCGGGCCUCGCGCUAUCGGGUUGGCCGAUGUCUGAUUAGCUAGUUGGUGGGGUAAAGGCCUACCAAGGCGACGAUCAGUAGCUGGUCUGAGAGGACGACCAGCCACACUGGGACUGAGACACGGCCCAGACUCCUACGGGAGGCAGCAGUGGGGAAUUUUGGACAAUGGGGGAAAGCCUGACCCAGCAAUGCCGCGGGUGUGAAGAAGGCCUUCGGGUGGUAAAGCACUUUUGUCCGGAAAGAAAUCCUUGGCCCUAAUACGGUCGGGGGAUGACGGUACCGGAAGAAUAAGCACCGGCUAACUACGUG
rnacentral:rRNA from 1 species